CAUGUAUUCCCUCCGUCUUAAAUUCUUGUCUUAGAUUUGUCUAGAUAUAAAUGUAUCUAGUCAUGUUUUAGUUUUUUAAUAUAUUCAUUUGUAGACAAAUCUAAGACAAGAAUUUUAAAACAGACGAAGUAUGUG
rnacentral:pre_miRNA from 1 species